rfam:Oryza glaberrima chromosome 6 Oglab06_0044_10, whole genome shotgun sequence.
AAAAAAAUAAACCCUAAGUUUCCGUGUUCAACUUUAACUGUCCGUCUUAUAUGAAAUUUUUUUUAUAAUUCGUAUUUUCAUUGUUGUUAAAUGAUAAAACAUGAUUAAUAUUUUAUACGUGACUUGUCUUUUUAAUUUUUUUAAAUAAGAUGGACGGUCAAACGUUGGACACGAAAAUUAGUGUUUGUCUUUUUU